UUGUUAUCAUUGCCUGAGAUCACGUGUAACCUAUUUUCUAUAGUAGAAAGAGACCUGGCACUGGAGCCAGAAGACCUGAGUUCAACUUCUGGCUUUGACAUUUAUAAUCCUGGUGACCUGCCAUAUCAUCUUUCUGGACCUCAGUUCCCUCAUCCAUAGAAUGAGGGGAGUUGUUUUAGGUGAUAUCUAAGGUCCAUCUCUCCCAGCUCUAAAUUCUGUGCUCACACAGCUAUGGAAUUUAACUCCUUGAAUGCUGAAAUUAUUUCAUUUUGCAUAGCACCAUAUAACUGCUUAUCAAAUGAAUGAACUCUCACUGAAAGAAAUAGGGAAAUCUGUCACAUCCUAAAAGAACCUUCCUGAAAGAUUCCAUUCCUAGCUUAUACCCCAAGGAUGCCAUCGAUAAGAAGAAAGUCCCCAUAUAGUCCAAAAUAUUUACAGCAGCACUUUUUGUGA